rnacentral:misc_RNA from 1 species
CCGAGUUUACAACUCCCAAACCCCUGUGAACAUACCUAUCGUUGCUUCGGCGGGACCGCCCCGGCGCCCCCGGGCCCGGACCCAGGCGCCCGCCGGAGGACCCAUACUCUUGUUUUUCUGAAGUAUCUUCUGAGUGACACAAGCAAAUAAAAUCA